GACGAACGCUGGCGGCGUGCUUAACACAUGCAAGUCGAACGGAAAGGCCCUGCUUUUGUGGGGUGCUCGAGUGGCGAACGGGUGAGUAACACGUGAGCAACCUGCCCUUGACUUUGGGAUAACUUCAGGAAACUGGGGCUAAUACCGGAUAGGAGCUCCUGCUGCAUGGUGGGGGUUGGAAAGUUUCGGCGGUUGGGGAUGGACUCGCGGCUUAUCAGCUUGUUGGUGGGGUAGUGGCUUACCAAGGCUUUGACGGGUAGCCGGCCUGAGAGGGUGACCGGCCACAUUGGGACUGAGAUACGGCCCAGACUCCUACGGGAGGCAGCAGUGGGGAAUAUUGCACAAUGGGCGGAAGCCUGGUGCAGCAACGCCGCGUGCGGGAUGACGGCCUUCGGGUUGUAAACCGCUUUCGCCUGUGACGAAGCGUGAGUGACGGUAAUGGGUAAAGAAGCACCGGCUAACUACGUG
rnacentral:rRNA from 1 species